UACAGAGGUCCCAAGCGUUGUUCGGAUUCAUUGGGCGUAAAGGGUGCGUAGGCGGGUUUUUAAGUCAGGGUGAAAUCCUGGAGCUCAACUCCAGAACUGCCUUUGAUACUGAAGAUCUCGAGUCCGGGAGAGGUGAGUGGAACUGCGAGUGUAGAGGUGAAAUUCGUAGAUAUUCGCAAGAACACCAGUGGCGAAGGCGGCUCACUGGCCCGGUACUGACGCUGAGGCACGAAAGCGUGGGGAGCAAACAGGG
rnacentral:rRNA from 1 species